rnacentral:misc_RNA from 1 species
GAUGCAACAAGCCAUCCCAGUAACUGCCAAAAAUAAAAAGCACUACUAUUAACCAACAUGUUCAUUGGAAAAAAAAUUGAAAAGGUGAUUGGAAAUAUCCGAAUAUCUUAGGAUAAUUGCACUAAACCAAGUAGGAACAAGAGAUUUGAUGUUAGAACAUUUUGUAACAUGUCGUGUACACUAUACAGUUGGAACUUGGACCCCAUAAAAAAGUUACCCAUAUUUGUUUAUAUUCUAGCCUCCUCUAGUAAUGAAUGUCAGCAGCUUUACCAAAAAGGGUAAAUGGAUAAAUAAAAGUCUACCAAGCUAAGCGGAGCAGCACAAAUGCAAAUAAGACAUAAGAAGUUGUUGAAAGCUGAAGUCAUCAGACUUCGAUCACGUCAAUCAUCUCAAGCUUUAGUUGAACAAAACAAGUUAUGAGAUCCUCAAUCCACAGUGCUCUACCACACAGCUGGAUAAGGGUUGUUUAUUCCAAAAGUAAUAAUUCAUACCUUAUUACUCAAUCAAUACUUGUUAUGGAUGAAUUUGUGGGCAAGGACAUGAUCUAAAAGAGAUCACAGUCAGCGGUGAUAAGAAUGACGACAAAUAAAUUAGUAUCAAAGGUAGAUUUAGCAUCAACACGAACUGAUUAUUAGUAGAAAUAAAUAUCCCAAUUAAGAUAUUACUCUGAUUAUCAUUAUCUUAACUUAUGGCCUUAAAUGCAGAUUUCCAAUAGUAAAAAAUUCCAUAUGA